rnacentral:rRNA from 1 species
GACGAACGCUGGUGGCGUGCCUAAUACAUGCAAGUAGAACGCUGAAGGAGGAGCUUACUUCUCUGGAUGAGUUGCGAACGGGUGAGUAACGCGUAGGUAACCUGCCUGGUAGCGGGGGAUAACUAUUGGAAACGAUAGCUAAUACCGCAUAAGAGUAGAUGUUGCAUGACAUUUACUUAAAAGGUGCAAUUGCACCACUACCAGAUGGCCCUGGGUUGUAUUAGCUAGUUGGUGGGGUAACGGCGUACCAAGGCGACGAUACAGAGCCGACCUGAGAGGGUGAUCGGCCACACUGGGACUGAGACACGGCCCAGACUCCUACGGGAGGCAGCAGUAGGGAAUCUUCGGCAAUGGACGGAAGUCUGACCGAGCAACGCCGCGUGAGUGAAGAAGGUUUUCGGAUCGUAAAGCUCUGUUGUAAGAGAAGAACGAGUGUGAGAGUGGAAAGUUCACACCGUGACGGUAUCUUACCAGAAAGGGACGGCUAACUACGUGCCAGCCGCCGCAGUAA